GGAUGCGAUCAUACCAGCACCAAAGCACCGGAUCCCAUCAGAACUCCAAAGUUAAGCGUGCUUGGGCGAGAGUAGUACUAGGAUGGGUGACCUCUUGGGAAGUCCUCGUGCUGCAUUCC
rfam:Triticum aestivum genome assembly, contig: Triticum_aestivum_CS42_TGACv1_scaffold_400238_5AS